rnacentral:rRNA from 1 species
AACAAACGCUGGCGGCGUGCCUAAUACAUGCAAGUCGAACGGGGAAAGCUUUCGGGUGAGUACUAGUGGCGCACGGGUGGGUAACGCGUGGAUAAUCUGCCUUAGAGUGGGGGAUAACUAGUCGAAAGAUUAGCUAAUACCGCAUAAGACCACAAGAACUGCGGUUCAAGAGGUCAAAGGUUUUUCGCUCUAAGAUGAGUCCGCGUAAGAUUAGCUAGUUGGUGAGGUAACGGCUCACCAAGGCAACGAUCCUUAACUGGUCUGAGAGGAUGAUCAGUCACACUGGAACUGAGACACGGUCCAGACUCCUACGGGAGGCAGCAGUAGAGAAUAUUGCACAAUGGAGGAAACUCUGAUGCAGCGACGCCGCGUGAGUGAUGAAGGCCUUCGGGUCGUAAAGCUCUGUCGCAGGGGAAUAACACAAUGAAUGUACCCUGUAAGAAAGGAUCGGCUAACUUCGUGCCAGCAGCCGCAGUAAAAC